GAAUUUUGGACAAUGGGCGAAAGCCUGAUCCAGCAAUGCCGCGUGCAGGAUGAAGGCCUUCGGGUUGUAACCUGCUUUUGUACGGAACGAAAAGCUUUGGGUUAAUACCCUGGAGUCAUGAAGGUACCGUAAGAAUAAGCCCCGGCUAACUCCUUGCCAGCAGCCGCGGUAAUACGUAGGUGGCCAGCGUUAAUCGGAAUGACUGGGCGUAAAGCGUGCGCAGGCGGUUUUGUAAGACAGGAGUGCAAGCCCCGGGCUCAACCUGGGAACUGCCUUUGUGACUGCAAGGCUAGAGGACGGCAGAGGGGGGUGGAAUUCCGCGUGUAGCAGUGAAAUGCGUAGAUAUGCGGAGGAACACCGAUGGCGAAGGCAACCCCCUGGGCCUGUACUGACGCUCAUGCACGAAAGCGUGGGGAGCAAACA
rnacentral:rRNA from 1 species